AAAAAGACAAACCAUGGUUUCCAUGUCCAAUAUUUGACCGUCUGUCUUAUUUAAAAAAAUUAUGAAAAAAAUUAAAAAAAACAAGUCACGCAUAAAAUAUUAAUCAUGUUUUAUCAUCUAACAACAAUAAAAAUACAAAUUAUAAAAAAAAAUUAUAUAAAAUGGACAGUCAAAGUUGGACACGGAAACCCAGAGUUUACUUUUUU
rfam:Oryza glumipatula chromosome 6, whole genome shotgun sequence.